CCUUCGGGUGAGUGGCAGACGGGUGAGUAACGCGUGGGAACCUACCUAGUAGCACGGAAUAACUCAGGGAAACUUGUGCUAAUACCGUAUACGCCCUUCGGGGGAAAGAUUUAUCGCUAUUAGAUGGGCCCGCGUUGGAUUAGCUUGUUGGUGAGGUAAUGGCUCACCAAGGCUACGAUCCAUAGCUGGUCUGAGAGGAUGAUCAGCCACACUGGGACUGAGACACGGCCCAG
rnacentral:rRNA from 1 species